UUCUGAAAGAAUACAUGUGUAGGGCAAAUGAAGGUGAUGACAAAGCCUUUAUUUAAGAAAUAGGCACACGAGGGAAAGAUAGCAAAAAGAAUCGACUCACCCCUCCCGGUAGCAGCGCGCAGCCCGAGCCGAGCUGAGGAAUGUGUCCCUCCCCCGUUCGUACCGCCGCGCCGCCGCACUCACACACUCACAGAGCCCACCCAUUGGUUCAGGCUGUGACCCUGGAAUUCCACUACACUCCACCCCUUCACAGCAUGAACCAAUGACUGAGCAGGUAGGGGGUGAGCCCCUGCAACCUGGUGGCCCAAGACACAAUGCGCAUCGCGACGCAUACACAACACCCGCCGCAAUAUAGGAUGUCAAAACAAUAAAGGCAAUCAGUGGCAGUCCCCUUCACGGUUCUGUUGGGCCAGUACUUGAUGUUCUUUCUCGAGGCGUAUCUUUUUCAAGGACCAGUAGCGCUUCUGAUUCAUGCUCUCCAGUCCCCAAAAGUUCAGCAGUGCGUCACAGGGUGUCAUGAUGUUUCCUCAUAAGCGUGUUUGAGUGAUGUUGCUCCUGCGGGCCAUCCUUGGGGAAUAAAGGAUCGCCAAUAUCCUAAUAUACCCAAAAACUCCUGCAACUGCUUCGGUUUCGUAGGAACCGGGAACGCUUGGAUCUUAUCAAUGAUCGCACUGGGUAACACCUUAGUCUUACCUGACCAGACAACACCCAGAAAUUUAACUGAUAGCCCUGGUCCUUGUACUUUUUGUGGGUUUAUAGCCCAUCCUUUUUCCUGUAAAUAAGUAAUUAAUGAUGGUACUGUCUUUUCUAAUGCCUCGAUUGAGUCAGAUGUUAACAUCAAAUCAUCAAUGUAGUGGAACAUUUUGACAGUAGAUGGUUUGUUCCAAUUUGCCAAGUCACUUGCCACCAAAUUAUGACAAAAAGUAGGUGAAUGCACGUACCCCUGAGGUAGAACUUGAAAAGUCCACUGCCUGCCCUCCCACGUGAAUGCAAACUGGUCUUGGGACUCCUUAGCAAUUGGAAUGCUGAAAAAUGCAUUUGCUAGAUCCAGAACGCAGUGGUAUGUUUCUAUUUCUCUACUUAAUGUAUCCAUGAGGGAAGCGAUGUUGGGUACAGCUGCAUGGAUCGGUGGCGUGACUUUAUUUAGUUCUCUGUAGUCUACUGUCAUUCGCCACGUACCAUCUGGUUUCCUGACUGGCCAUAUGGGGGAG
ensembl:lncRNA